ACCAUUUUAUAUAAUUUGCCAAAUAUACAUUUUUAUUAAAUCCCCAAAGUACGCUUGCUGAAAUACAAGUUAAUAUCACAUUGAAAGAAUUUUGAUCAAUCAUGCUUCCCUGCUGUGAUUGUUUAACUGGGAAAAAACAACUUUUUCCACAGGAAGGCAAGUAAAUUUAAGGAAUACAUGUGCAAAGUUUUCCUCUGUUAUGUAUAAUGAUGACCCCCAUCAAACAUAAUGUUAGCAAUAUUUACACCUUUUAAUUUAUACUGUUUAUUUCUGUCUACAUGUGUGAAUUUGCCUUCAUUAGUUUCAGAAAAGAGCGAUGAUGUAUCGGUCAGUGGGCGGCAGCACGAGACUCCGCAAACUAGUCUGUAAGCAAAGCAGACGAAGGCAUCGAGGUUGCGGCCUGCCAUCAUUGUUAUUUUGCUUAAGGGACUGAAUAUGUUUCAUGCAGAAAUAUUAGCAUUUCCCUUAUAUCUACCAAAACUGCUUGUUUCACAGACUGCAGUUUUGUUUUGAUCCGAUGUGGUGUGCAAAUACAACCGUAUCUGCAAUGGGUUGUGGGGCAUUAACAUUUGUAACUCUAAUUUUGUUUUGACAGACUGUGAAAAGAACGUUGAGAACAUCACCACUCUACAGGAAGACACAGUCCAGUAAUGGGUGUCAGAAGUUCAGUAGUGAACGACAGGUACUGUGGGAAAAUGUGUGUCAUUGUUGUACAAUGUCCUUUGACUCUGUUUAAACAAGGUCAACACAAAAAGGUUUGAUUGUAAACUGAUAUCGGUACGAAUUCAUGUUAUUCUCCUCGUCAAAAGAAACAAACAAUCAAAAUUACCUGCAGAAAGCCCUUGAUGGACGCUUCAGCUGCAUCGUCAGACUGGAAGGACUGAUGCAUUUACUGAGACGGGACUUGAGGGCCUACUCUGCGUGCUCAGAGUUCAAGCCCAGCAGGCUGCAGCGGUCCUGACAUAUUCCGGAACAGCAGCACAGUCUUUAGAUGACUCCUCUGAAGAUGAAAACAUGGCGAGUUCUUCUCAAGAGAAGCAGUACAGGUGUGCCUCAGCUCCACGGUCUCUCCUGCAACCUCCGCUCCUGAUGCUAACCUCAUGUCUCCAUCACACCAAGCAGCAGACCUGGAUUGACAGA